rnacentral:rRNA from 1 species
UACUUAGGGUGCUAUCGUUAAUCGGAAUUACUGGGCGUAAAUCUUUCGCAGGCUGUUCGUUAAGUCAUAUGUGAAAGCCCCGGGCUCAACCUGGGAACUGCAUUUGAAACUGGCGGGCUUGAGUGUGGCAGAGGGGGGUGGAAUUCCGCGUGUAGCAGUGAAAUGCGUAGAGAUGCGGAGGAAAACCGAUGGCGAAGGCAGCCCCCUGGGCCAACACUGACGCUCAGGCACGAAAGAGUGGGGAGCAAACAGG